GAUCACCGCUCGUAUAUAUCCAUCGGCUCCCAACCCAUAUUCGCCCUCGCCUCACGCACACGCCCCUCUCCCAGCGCUCUCCACACCCAUCUUUGUUUUCUCCCUCCCCGCGCCCCCCUCGCAGCCACCAGCCAGCCAUGUCCUGCGGUGACGCCAAGAUCAACUGUCCCGCGCCGCCCUUCGAGGAGGUGGCGCUCAUGCCCAACGGCAGCUUCAAGAAGAUCAGCCUCGCCGCCUACAAGGGCAAGUGGGUCGUGCUCUUCUUCUACCCGCUCGACUUCACCUUCGUGUGCCCGACAGAGAUCAUCGCGUUCUCCGAAAACGUGAGUCGCUUCAACGAGCUCAACUGCGAGGUCCUCGCGUGCUCCAUGGACAGCGAGUACGCGCACCUGCAGUGGACGCUGCAGGACCGCAAGAAGGGCGGCCUCGGCGCCAUGGCGAUUCCAAUGCUGGCCGACAAGACCAAGAGCAUCGCUCGUGCCUACGGCGUGCUGGAGGAGAAACAGGGCGUGGCCUACCGCGGUCUCUUCAUCAUCGACCCCAAUGGCAUGGUGCGCCAGAUCACCGUCAACGACAUGCCGGUGGGCCGCAACGUGGAGGAGGUUCUGCGCCUGCUGGAGGCUUUUCAGUUCGUGGAGAAGCACGGCGAGGUGUGCCCCGCGAACUGGAAGAAGGGCGCCCCCACGAUGAAGCCGGAGCCGAAGGCGUCUGUCGAGGGGUACUUCAGCAAACAGUAAACCUGUGAGUUUCACAGGAAUCAGUGUGGCCCCACCCGCCAUUGCCAGUGGGUGCGAGAGGGCGUGAGGGCGUGUGGGAGGGGAUCAGGAUAUGAUGUAGACAGUGGUGAAUGCAAGUCUCACACAGUGGCCCUCCCCAACCCCGUCCACACAGACGCACACACACACACACACACACACACACACACACGCAAGUGCGGUGCCUCGAUCCCUUCAUUAUUUUUCGAGUUUUCUUUACUGUUUAUGUUUUUCUCUGUUUGGUUUCGUGGAAUAUGGACGCACGAGCGCGGAGAGCAGAGGCGCGACACGCACAGGGCGCACACGUGUAAGCGACGUCGCGAAACACGGAAGGGAGAAGCCGGAAAGGGUAUAAAACGAAGAUGGUGUCCCGCGCGCACGCGCGUGCACACACACGCGCGGUGAGAACACAUGCGGCGUCCUUUCGGGCGUUUUGUUGCUGCUCUCGCUUUGCUGGCUGCAGCACCGGCUCGUGCGCCCCUGCCGGCCACUCUCGGUGCGUGUCUGUGUGUGGGGGGGGGGGGGGGGGUCGUGGCUUCUGUUCUCUUGUCUUCUUUAAUUUGUUUUUUGCCUAUUCGAAGAUUCCGGAUGAAUGACGAGGGUGCCGAUGAUCUCGGCGUGGCUCUUCCUACACAUACACGCCCCGAUGUCUCAGUGCAUGCCCGCCUUCCUGUCGGUGUGCGUGUGUGUGUGUGUGUGUGUGUGUGGGUGGGUGGGUGGGUGUGUGGGUGUGUGGCUGUUUGUGUCCCGUCACAUCCGAUCCGAGAAACAGACGCAAAGACAGAAGUGUGCUGAGUCACGCAGGGGGGACAUCGGCCACACACCCGAUGUUGAAAAGCACUCAUCACCACCACCACCACCCAUCCUCUCCUCCUCUGACCCAUACGACCUGCCCUAUCGCAUCUUCGACGCUGAUCGACGUCAAGAUGAUCAUCCUCAGUUGUUAUCAUCGGCGACUUCACAUUUCUAUUUUCCCCUUCAUUCUCUCGCUCUUCCUCCUCCACGCACAGGAUCACGUGCGUGUGUGUGUAUGCGUGGGUGUGCUGCACUCCCCCGGUCACUUCUACUGUUUUUUUUUUUGUUUCCAUGUUAAGGCCUUUUCUGUUGUUUUCGUUUAUCUGGUCUUCCUCGUUAUCUCUUCUCGCGUGCGUGGGUGUGUGUCUGUGUCUGUUCCGGGACUGCGUGACGGGGCCUGUGGCUUGCAUCCGGACGGCCACACACCCGCACACACACACACACACACAGCAGCAGCAGCAGCAUCCACACGCACUGACCCCCAUAGGGAGUGAGAGAGGAGAUUCAAUGCUGUACCGCGGCUCUUAUUGAUCGAGCGAUCGAAGAAGCGUUUACUAUUUUGAUCGCUGUGCAGAGGUGGACGCACACGUACGUCGCUACGUCGACGUGCACCUCUCGAGCUCGCUCCUCUAUUCCUUUCCCUUUCCCUUUUCCUUUCCUUCACUCCUCCGCCUCCCUGUGCCUUUCUCCAGCACUGUAUCGCCAUCGCUCCCUAUUCUCCCCCUCACGCCACACCUCCAGACCUGCGAGUGCCACUGCAGCAUUCGACCCGUGCGCCGCUGAGAGCAGCAUGGGACCAAGCAGAGGGGGUCUGUGCGUGAGAUUACAAGGCGUGCAACGUGAAGGAGAGAGCGAGAGGUGAAGGCAAGGAACGAAGCCGCGCGCCGCUUCUGCCCCUGCAUGAAUACCCCACCCCUGCUUCCUUCGCUCAUCACCCCACCUCUGCCUCUCUGCCUCUCGCCACACACCCCACAG
rnacentral:misc_RNA from 1 species